UUGAAGGGCAAGUGAAAUCGCCAGAAGUAAGUUCAACAUUUAGCAUCUUACUACACUAAAGUUGGGAUACUUACCGGCUCUGUGAAGAUCUGUGGUUAGCCUAUGUUAACCAUUGAAAACCCAUGAACUUCAAGACGAGAGAAGUUACAUCACGUACUUAAUGUAGCUUAAUUUACGUACGUACGCAUGAUCCGCAUCCUCUAAUUCUAUCCAGAGACAUUCACUGUUCAUUCCCCUGAAUGUAAUACAUCUCCAUUUUAGCAACCGUGAGUGCCAACGGGUGCAAAUGAAUGGCUCUCAAUUGACGUCAACCAGGCUGCCAUUCUCUCUGCUGCCAAUCUGCCAAUUACAGUCCACUUCCUUCCCUCGUGUUGGCACUCCAUACUCCACUCCAGCUUCCUGCAUUUAUCUCGAGUCAGUUCAUGAAAAGAGAAGCUGCAUUCUGCAUGCAAAGAGAAUCACACACACAACAAAAAAACCUCACCCAGAGGCGGGGGCACCGCAGGGUGAUGAGGCAAAGAUAGCACUCACAAUGCAGCCUCUACGGACAUCAUGACAGGGUGGAGAGACAGGAGAGGACAGUGUUGGAGGAAGAGUCAUUUGAUAAAUUGCGAUGGAUGCUGAGCUGGACUUGUUGCUGAUGAAUUGUAAGAAACAUGGGACGCCAUGGUAGCUCAGAGCAUGCAUCCCACGUCCAGAGACUCUGUCCUCACUGCCCAGGGCUGGAGUCGGACCUGCGGCCCUUUGUUGCCUGUCAGCCAUCAGUAAAGCCAUGAAAGGAAUAAAAAAAAAAAAAGGUAUUUACGACAGUUGUGUCACACUCAGAAUUGAUGCACAAUGUGAGAUUCAACAUAAUGUUGCUUUAAGGAGAAUAAUUUAGAAUUGCCAAAACCUAAAAUAAA